rnacentral:rRNA from 1 species
UACGUAGGGUGCAAGCGUUGUCCGGAAUUAUUGGGCGUAAAGAGCUCGUAGGCGGUCUGUCACGUCGGAUGUGAAAACUCGGGGCUCAACCCCGGGCCUGCAUACGAUACGGGCAGACUUGAGUUCGGCAGGGGAGACUGGAAUUCCUGGUGUAGCGGUGAAAUGCGCAGAUAUCAGGAGGAACACCGGUGGCGAAGGCGGGUCUCUGGGCCGAUACUGACGCUGAGGAGCGAAAGCGUGGGGAGCGAACAGG